AUCUCGUUUUAAAUUAUGGGUGGCCCGAGAGGGCCUUAAAAGGGAAGUACGGUGUAAAACCGUCGCGGACCCGCCGCUGUAACCGGGGAUGAAAGCCGCAAAAUGCCACUGUCUGUAAGGACGGGAAGGCGCGGCAAGUAGGAUGAACCGGGAGCCAGAAGACCUACCCUAAUGUCAUAAUUUGU
rnacentral:ncRNA from 2 species